GACGAACGCUGGCGGCAUGCCUAACACAUGCAAGUCGAACGGAGAUUACUUCGGUAAUCUUAGUGGCGAACGGGUGAGUAACGCGUGGGCAACCUGCCCUCUAGAUGGGGACAACAUCCCGAAAGGGGUGCUAAUACCGAAUGUGACAGCAAUCUCGCAUGAGGAUGCUGUGAAAGAUGGCCUCUAUUUAUAAGCUAUCGCUAGAGGAUGGGCCUGCGUCUGAUUAGCUAGUUGGUGGGGUAACGGCCUACCAAGGCGAUGAUCAGUAGCCGGUCUGAGAGGAUGAACGGCCACAUUGGGACUGAGACACGGCCCAGACUCCUACGGGAGGCAGCAGUGGGGAAUCUUCCGCAAUGGGCGAAAGCCUGACGGAGCAAUGCCGCGUGAGUGAUGAAGGAAUUCGUUCCGUAAAGCUCUUUUGUUUAUGACGAAUGUGCAGAUUGUAAAUAAUAAUCUGAAAUGACGGUAGUAAACGAAUAAGCCACGGCUAACUACGUG
rnacentral:rRNA from 1 species